CACGAACCGUACGAACGUUAUUCGGAAUUACUGGGCUUAAAGAGUCCGUAGGCGGCUUGUUAGGUGAGGUGUGAAAUCCCUCGGCUCAACCGAGGAAUUGCGCUUCAAACCGGCAAGCUAGAGGAGGAUAGAGGUGGGCGGAACUGAUGGUGGAGCGGUGAAAUGCGUUGAUAUCAUCAGGAACACCGGAGGCGAAGGCGGUCCACUGGGUCCUUUCUGACGCUGAGGGACGAAAGCUAGGGGAGCGAACGGG
rnacentral:rRNA from 1 species